UAGCCGUAAACGAUACUCGCUAGGUGUCGGCCACGGUGCGACCGUUGUCGGUGCCGUAGGGAAGCCGUGAAGCGAGCCACCUGGGAAGUACGGCCGCAAGGCUGAAACUUAAAGGAAUUGGCGGGGGAGCACCACAACGGGUGGAGCUUGCGGUUUAAUUGGAUUCAACGCCGGAAAUCUUGCCGGGACCGACAGCAACAUGAAGGCCAGGCUGAAGACUUUGCCGGAUUAGCUGAGAGGAGGUGCAUGGCGUAGUCGUGU
rnacentral:rRNA from 1 species